GGGAUAGACGUGGUUUCGACAGGCUUUAUGAAGUCGUAACAGCAUGCCAUGGUUGCGCAUGUAAAAACGCCGAGGUUUAAAUUAACCGCAGACAAUAAUUACGCUUUUGCAGCUUAAUAGAUAAUGAGCUGCGCCUGUGAUAAGGUACCCCUUAAGCCUUGUCAACGGGUUCAUUCAUUAAGGGUUGAAUCAGAAAAGGGCCUCGGUUUCUGAUUCGAGAUCCGGAGGCUAGUUUGCAGGUGUUUUGUUCUUUGUACAACUGCAAAUGAAAGACAAACAAAGGACUAAGCAUGUAGAAGUUAUGAUGGAUUAAGGUUUGGACAGGGGUUCGACUCCCCUCUAUUCCACCA
rnacentral:tmRNA from 1 species